GCGCCCGUAGCUCAGCUGGAUAGAGCAACGCCCUUCUAAGGCGUGGGUCGAAGGUUCGAAUCCUUCCGGGUGCGCCA
rnacentral:tRNA from 3 species